GCAACCUGUUCUAGUGUCUCACCAGUCUUACUGUGAAAAACUUCUAUAGAUGCAAUCUGAAUCUCCCCUCUAUUAGUUUGAAACCAUUUCUCCUAUUACAACAGGCUAAAGAGUCUGCCCCCUUACUUUAUAUAGUUCCCCUUGAGAUACUGAAAGGACGCUAUUAGGUCUCUCUGGAGCCUUCUCCAGGUUGAACGGCCCCACCUCUCUCAGCCUGUCCUCACAUGAGAAGUGUUCCACCUCUUGGAUCAUUUGUGUGGCCCUCCUCUGGAUGCACUUCAACAGUUCCUUGUUUCUCCUGCACUGAGGACUCCACAUCUGGUCGCAGUAUUCCAGGUGAGGUCUCACCAGCACAGAGCAGAGGGGCAGGAUCACCUCCCUCACCCUGUUGGCUAUGUUUCUUUUGACGCAGUCCAUGUUUCUUUUCAUGGUUCCCAUUUUCUUGAUAUUAUACAGUUAAUUUGAUACAGUCCUAUGAAUUCAGUAUAUGUACUUGCUUUCCUAUGAAGAUGGAGAAACUAAAGCACAACAACACUAAUUACCAGCCUGUGGAAGGUAAAUCUGUGGCAAAACUGAACCUAAACUUCAACUUGUAGUUUUUCAUCUCGGCCACCAACCAUCUUUCUGGUACCAUUAUUCCUUAUGCAAAUCAUGUCUAGUGUGGGUGUUUUCACUGCAUAGCAACUUUUCUGAGAAACACGGGCUGAUUUCAUCUUACUGGAGCAGCCAACCAAAAAUCCUUUUAUGCUCACAGGUAAAAAUAAUGAAAUUUGUUCUUGUAGCUAUCCGUACAGUGGAAAUUUAAUUUUCUGGAUAACUUCAUCAUCUUUUACUAUCAAUUCAGUCAUGUAUGUAAAAUAUUUUUAGUAUCAGGUCGACAAGUUAGUGCUUCUACAUUCACCUAGCAUUGCUAAAUCAGUGCUGAGCAGUCACUGAUGUCUACAAGCCCUUCCAUGUUGCUGCCCUGGGAAGCAGAAGCAUGAAAUUCUGGCUUUGGAGUUUAGUACUCGGGAGCUAACUGCACUCAUGCAAUUAUCGUUGUUAACAAAAAUAGUGAAGGUAAUUAUUUCUCAGCAAGUCUAGCACUUUCUAACAGUGCAUGCAUAAUAAGUGAAUAGCUGACCUCAGAAUACUUGAUUUGAUUGAGGAAAUGAAAGAUGCUCACAAAUCCGAUUAUGGCUCUAUCUUCCUACUCUAUCUCCAUCUUUCUUUCUUUCUUUUUUUUUUUUUUUUUAAAUAUAAGUUUAAUUUUUAUUUUUUAUUUUUGGUGUGUUUCUCUGCAACAUGCAUACACAAUAAUAAAUAAAGUUCUGACCUUUAAAUAGUCGCAAAAAGGGAAUGCUUUGUGUAAAAAUUGACAGUUGGAGGUAUUUGUCAAGUUAGCAGUAAAUGUACUGUGAAAGAACUAGGGCUUAAUGAAUUAUUUGCACUCCAAAAUGUGGUUUCUUUUUAAUCAUAUUUUACCAUUGCGCUGCAUGUGUAUAUCUGUAUUACAACAGAAUUAUUGCUCUACACUUUAUGUACAAUGCUCUGCAUUGUAAUGAAGAAUCAGUGUUCUUAAUGUGUAAGAAAAGAGCAUUCCAAUUGUCGAUUUUUUUAUGAUUAUGCUUUGAGAAACAAGAGUAUCUUCCCCAUAAAAGUUGGAGGAAAUAAUGAGAUCCUAAUAUUUUUUCUAUUAUGGAUAUGCAGGGUUUUAAAGCUAUAUGAUCUGUGUUCUAAAGAUUUCUUUCCAUGGAACAUUAACAGUCAAAUUAGUCCAGAUGCAGCAGAAGGGAGUCUUGGAGGAUUUAUUUUAAGAUUAGCUGCUGUUCACUGAACAGUGAUGGAAAUUUGCCCAAAAUUUCUUCCUUUCUUUUUUUUUUCUUAGUAGAUGCAGUUGAUGGGAAAAGAUAUAAUAAAUAGAGUAAUAUUAUGAUUUUGCUCACUGGACCUGCUUCCAGAUGAUUAAAUUCCCAUUUUUCAUUCAGUGGUUCUCAGACUGGAAUGACCAACUGACAAAAACAAUUAUUCUCACAGGAACAUGUAUGCUGACUUUGGAAACCUGUACUGAAGCCUUGUAAAUGGCCUUUCGUUCUGUGUAAUUCUGGAUGAAUGUUUUGCCUUCACUGUUAUAUAGUCUCCUAUUUCCAGCCCUUGUGCUGGACAAGAGACAGGGUAGCGGGGAUGGGCUGUGCUGCCCCAGAGCUCCAAGACAAAGGCAACAUGGCUUGGCAAUCAGCCUUUCCCACUGCAACUGGCCUCAACUCUCUUCCUUAACAGGUUCCAAAAAUCUGAUAUUGCAAAUGUAUAGUAUAAGGACAUUUGACCUUUUAGUGGGGUCAUCUCACUCUUGUCUAGAGGGAGUGUUAGGGAAUCACCUUCUCUAUCCCCUGAUUCUUUCAGUUCCAAGAUCUUCUACAUGAGAAAUAGUAUCCUUGUUCAGCGCAGUUAUUGUUCCAAAUUGAGGUGAUUAAUGAUGAACAUUUUUGGUUUAGCAUCUGCCGAAGUAUCUAACUGAAGCUGCCACUCACACUGUCUUACAACAAAAAACUGGGCAAAGAAGAGAUCUUCAGAUUUGCAUAAAUUAUGCUCCUUUCCAUGUUUUUCUGGUGCUGAUACCAGAUGGGACCAAAAGAGCAAACUUAACACAUGAUGAGAAUCGUAUUAUUUCCAGUAGUCUCAGAGAAAAAGUGAUUUGUGUUGUUCACUGUCACAAAUCUAAGACAAUUGACUGUUAGGUGUCCUGGGUGAAAAAACUUGUCAUACAAUCUACAUCUCAAGUGUCAACGAAAAGCUUUCAAAAAUGCUCAUGCUUCUAGUAGGCCUUGGAUAUCUAAUUUCAUUUGUGCCUUUAAAUACCUCUUCUCUACAAUGAUGUAGCACAUUAUUUUAGAGAUACCCUCUGGCUAUUAAUUCGAGGGAAUACAGGGUCCAUUAAUUUAUUGAAUCAUAGAAUCAUAGAAUUACCCAGGUUGGAAAAGACCUUGAAGAUCAUCAAGUCCAAUCGCAGCCUAACCAGAACCCUAACUCUAAAAAUCCUACACUAAAUCAUAUCUCUGUGUACCACACACUUGGAAAAACAAAGAUGUCGAUUAAGUGUUGUUACCACAGAAAGAGAUGCAGCACCUGAAGGGAUGUCCAACAUACCAAACUGCUUUCCAAGUUCAAAGAGAACAUCCUCUAAAAGCAGUCACCUGUCAGGGAACAGAACUUUCCCUAGAACUUCAGACCUAUUCAGUUCUGCCAAGUUAUGGUGAAUGUGAACAGACCAUUACUGAAAUGAUACAAUUGCUUGUUGUAGCAUGUUUGAUAGACUACAUAUUAAAAUAUUGAAAUGACAUUUUUUUCUGCUUGCAGCUGUUGUAAUCAUCUAGAAAACUUCUACAUGUCAGCUUUUAGUCUGACAUACUCUUUUCUUGUUAAGUGACCUUGACCAUGGAAGGAUGAGUAAUGACAAACUUUUGGUGAUUGUUAACUGUGGAAAAAGUGGAAAAAAUUGGCAGCAAAGCUAAUUUAUCUCACUGAAUAAUGAAGAGAGUUAAACAAGAAAAAAUAAAAAAAGGAGUGAAUGAAUGAAGGCAGCAAGGCAGGCAGGAAGGGGGAAAGGAAGAAAAUUAAGCUACAAUUAAUCUUUUAUUUCUAUUCUCUUUUUGUGAAAAAAUGGAGAAAAAUGUAAGAAAGAAAAAAAUAUUCUGCACCAUAAAUUUCAAAGUGCUCGUAUGAAGGCUGGUUUAAUGUUGCUUUUUGACAUGAUUUUUUACUCAUUAGACACAUUAAUGAAAGGUUUGAUGGAUACAGAUAUGGCCAGCAAUGAAAAUCCCCUUAUUUUUACUGUACCACCUCCUCCCAGAGAUGUGAUAUUUCUGCAGUGCUAGAAUUCUGUUCCAUAGAAUCAGAGAAUAGCUUAGGUUGGAGGGAACCUUAAAUAUAAACCAGUUCUAACCUCCUACUGUGGUCAGGGCUGCCCCCUACCAGCCCAGGCUUUCCAGGGCCCACCCAACCUGGCCUUGAGCACCUGCAAGGAUGGGGCACACAGAACCUCUCUGUGCUGUCUGUUUUAGCAUCUCACCACCCUCUGAAUAAAAAAUUUCUCCCUAACAUCAAACCAAAUUUUCUCCUGUUUCUGUUAAAAGCCAUUUCCCCUUCUCCUGUCACUGUCAGACUGCAUAAAACGUCAAUCCUCUUUCUGCUUGUAAGCUCCCUUCAAGUAGUGAAAGGUUUCAAGUGCUCCAUAGAGACUUCUCCAAGCUAAAGAAGCCCAAUUCCUUCAGCCUUUCUUUAUAGGAGAGGUGCUCCAGCCCUCUGAUCAUCUGUGUGGCCUUUCUCCAGAACCACUCUAACAGCUCCACAUCCCUCCUGUACCAUAUCUAAGUACUUCUGAUUCUGCCUCUGUAGCAGGGCUCCAAACUGAAGCCUGUGAACUGUACAAGCUGUUCGAAAUGUAUUAACCAUUGUUUUUUUUCAUAUUAUUCCGGCAGAUGACAGAGAAAUAACAUUCAGGUACUGAGAAAUUCCAUGGUGAGUGAUUGAGCAAUAUAUUUAUGUAUCAAUAUUUUCAGAAGAAAAUACAGCCACUGAUAAAAACUCUCACUAAUUUGAGCCAGGGUUUCUUUUUGUGCAGGUAAAUGAAUGUCAUCCUUGCAAAGAAGAGUCAGAUGAUUAUGCUGAGAUAAUUUUCAAUUUCUUAUCAAUCCUGUAUUGGUACAACCAUUGUGAUUCUCUUGAUUUUUUUUUUUCCCACUGAGGUAUUUUCUUUAGAAAAUGUAGAAACAGCAGAAUUUAUUAAGCUUGUGAUAACUUACCUAACCUGUCAAAUAAAUAAUUCUUUUUGCCUGGA